UCUUGUAGAAUCAGUCCAGCUCGGUACAAUGGCACAUGAAAAACCAUAUUUACAAGUUUGGGCAGGAGGUCGAAAGCAAGUCUUCAGAUGAGCAGAGGACUGAUGAUGACCAUGUUGACCUUUCCAGCCAAAGAGUUUGUGACAGUGAAAUGGAACAAGAAUUGACUGAUCCGGACACAAAAGAGACAGCAAUCUGCCGCCAGUCCUCCUCCUCUUCCUCCCCUCUACAGUUCAAUCAGAUGGUGCCGUGACUGGGAACAGCAGGUGAGAGACUCCUGGGGCUAGUUCCCAGUUUUGAGUCCCCUGCUGUUCAAGACCCACCAGACUUCAUCCUGUAAUUCCUCACUUUUACACUCAGAAAUUGUAUGCUUGACUGCUGCUUCUCAAACAACACCCACCAAUUACCACAGCUGCCGCCAGUCCUCCUCCUCUUCCUCCCCUCUACAGUUCUAUCACCUAUGUCUGAACAAUGCAAAGCUAGAAUUAGGUCAGAAAAUAAUGAGGAUCUUGGCAAAAGUGAAACUCACUGGAUAGAACGCCAGCACUGCAAUUUAAUGUUGGAAAUUGUAACAGCAGAUAUGCUACAAGACAUUGUGAAACAGAAGAAGGAAGAGAACAAGAAGUCACCAAGGAGCAAGCCCUCCCUGCGAUCAGUACUAUGUGCAGGCAGCUAGGGGGAGGGCCAGAUGCCAGCCUCUUCCAGCAUGUGGGCUGGGAGACAAGAAGAGCCAACCUCACCCCACUGCCAUAAGGGACCGGCUGAUCCAAACAAACCCCUGGCUGCGAUGAUGGCUGUUGAGAUAAAACACAAUUUAAUGUUUGUAAUAUUUAGGUUUUCACUGACUUUGCCAUCUAAAGCGGGUGGUCUGAUCAUCUAUUCAGAGUAUAACAACAUACAAUGUAGCAGCUAUGGGGGAAUCUCCUUCUGAAGGUGGUGGCCAUUGUUAAUUCUCUAUCAUCUUGGUUUGAAGUCCUGUAUCAUUUUCAUUGUUUUGUUGGAUUGAAUUUUAUUCUGUUUUGUUUUGUUUAAUUUUAUUGUAUCCAAUGGCAUGGGUAGCCAUUUCAAAAAUAACAAGAUAUAUUAUGGCAGCCAUUUGGAUUUACUUUUAUCUUGUUUUGAAGCCCUUUAUUGUGUUCAUUGUUUUGUUUUUAUUAGUUGUAUUCUGUCUUGUUUUGUUUGAUCUUUACAAUGUCUGAAGGCAUCUGCAGUUAUUUUGAAGGUAACAAGAGGCAUUAUGGUAACCACUGUUGGUUUCCUAUUGUUUUGAAGUCCUGUGCCACUUAUACUGGUUUGUUUUGAUUGGCUUUAUUCUAUUUUAUUUUUCUUGAUUUUAUACUCUUUAAAAUAAAAAUAAAAUAUAUUAUGAAACAAAUAAUACAAGUAAAUGUACUUGACAUUGCAUGUACCAGUAGUCAUACUUGAAAAUGUUCAUUAUGACAUCUCACUAUCUGAACUGAAGGCAUUCAUAAGU